rnacentral:ncRNA from 2 species
GUCUAGCUGAAUGUUCUGAGAUUUAUCAUUGUUCAAAUAUCCAGGGAAUCCCGUAGAAACGGGAGCUGCCCCGCAACUGUAACCGGUGACGAACGCUGCACGAUGCCACGGUCCUGAUUGGGGAAGGGCUCACCACAGAGACGCAAAGGUUGCAGAGAAAAACAGGAUGUUGAAAAAUUAAGAGGUUGUGAGAUUGCAUUUCUCAACUUCCGAUCUUCACAAUUUCUCAUAUUCUGUUCUUUUCCUCUGCGUUCUCUGCGAUGAACUAAGCAAUUACAAAAACAGGAUGGGAAGGCGCAGGACGUAGGAUGAUCCGGCAGCCAGGAGACCUGCUUGAACACGAUUUUAUCA